GGAGAGAUGCCAGAGUGGUUGAUUGGGCCGGUCUCGAAAACCGGUAUCCGCAAAUAAGCGGAUCCUGGGUUCAAAUCCCAGUCUCUCCGCCA
rnacentral:tRNA from 1 species